rnacentral:rRNA from 1 species
GACGAACGCUGGCGGCGUGCUUAACACAUGCAAGUCGAGCGGUAAGGCCCUUUCGGGGGUACACGAGCGGCGAACGGGUGAGUAACACGUGGGUGACCUGCCCUCAGCUCUGGGAUAAGCCUGGGAAACCGGGUCUAAUACCGGAUAUGACCUCAUGACGCAUGUUGUGGGGUGGAAAGCCUUGUGCGGCUGAGGAUGGGCCCGCGGCCUAUCAGCUUGUUGGUGGGGUGANGGCCUACCAAGGCGACGACGGGUAGCCGGCCUGAGAGGGCGACCGGCCACACUGGGACUGAGACACGGCCCAGACUCCUACGGGAGGCAGCAGUGGGGAAUCUUGCGCAAUGGGUGAAAGCCUGACGCAGCGACGCCGCGUGAGGGAUGACGGCCUGG